rnacentral:RNase_P_RNA from 2 species
ACAGUUGGGUAACCGCUAUAGUAUAUACUAUAGAGGAAAGUCCAUGCUCGCACAGGCUGAGAUGCCUGUAGUGUUCGUGCCUAGCGAAAAAAUAAGCUAGGGUAGUUCGGUAUUACACUGGACUAACGGCAGGGAAAACACCUAAGUCGCUUGCGAUAUGGUGUGAAUACCUUGAAAGUGCCACAGUGACGUAGUCCAAUUAGAAAUAAUUGGAGUGGAACGCGGUAAACCCCUCGAGCGAGAAACCCAAACAAUGGUAGGGGCACCUUCUCAAAGGAAAUUGAACGAAGAGAAGGACAGAUCAUUGUACAUGAAUCUGUAGACAGAUGGUUACCACCGGAGUACAAGGAGCAAUCCGUUUGUAGUACGAAGGAACAGAACAUGGCUUACAAAC